CAAAAUGAUGUUUUCUUUUACCAUGGACAAUGCGGUUUCAUAAAACAAAACUCAUGCAAAGAUCACAAAGACAAGAAGUUAAUUGUUGGAAGAUAACAACCACAAAACAAGUGCACAUAGCAACCUUACCUUGUUCAAACAACGGUCAAAGUUAGUAGCAGUAUGCUAGGUAGAGAUAGCAAAAGUAGCAGCAGACUUAGACAAUCAUCAUGCUCAUGUCCACCCAGAAUGGUUAAAAUUUCAGCUGAGCCUUCAUCAUCUUCUUCUUCUUCUUCUUCUUCUUUCUCUUCUACAGCACGGCUUAAAAGACACGAUGUUUUCAUCAGUUUUAGAGGUGAGGACACGCGCAACAGCUUCACAAGCCAUCUCUAUGCAGCCUUUCAGCACAAGAACAUCCAAGCCUUCAUAGAUAACAGGUUUCACAAAGGGGAUAUGAUCUCUUCCUCUAUUUUUGAAGCCAUCAAACACUCCAACGUUUCUCUUGUUGUUCUCUCCAAGUACUAUGCUUCCUCCACGUGGUGUUUGCGUGAACUCGCCAAAAUACUUCAACUCAGGAAACGUGGAGAACACAUUGUGAUACCUGUUUUCUAUAAGAUUGACCCUUCCCAUGUAAGGAAGCAGACAGGAACUUACGGAAUGGCGUUUCAAAAAUAUAAAGAAGAUGUCAAACAAAACAUGGCCAUGUUGCAGAAAUGGAAAGCUGCUCUCACUGAAGUGGCAGAUAUAGUUGGGUGGGAAUCAAAGAAUUUUAGGACGGAGAAUGAACUCAUUCAGGAAAUUGUCAAAGACGUUAUGCAAAAACUAAACCAUAUGUAUCCCACUGAAGUAAAAACACUUGUUGGAAUUGAUCAAAAUCUUGCUCCUAUUGAAUCAUUAUUAAGACUAAGGUCAAAAGAAGUUCGCAUAAUUGGAAUUUGGGGAAUGGGUGGACUAGGUAAGACAACCAUUGCGAGAGCUUUAUUUGACAAAUUAUCAUCUCAAUUUGAAGCUAGUUGCUUCUUGGCAAAUGUAAUGGCAGAACAUGAAAAGCAAGGACUUGAUUAUUUGCGCAAUAAACUUCUUUCUGAGAUAUUAGAAGAUGUGAAUCCCCGUAUAAGCACUUCCAAAGUGAGAUCUACGUUUGUUAUGAAGAGGCUUAGACAGAAAAAGGUUUUGAUAGUACUUGAUGAUGUGGACGAUCCAAAGAAACUCGAAGAUCUUGCUGCACAACAUGAUUGCUUGGGAUCUGGGAGUAGGGUCAUUGUCACUACAAGAGACAAGCAUGUCCUUAGCAAAGGGGUAGAUGCAAUCUAUGAGGUUAAGGGAUUGUCCCUUGAUCAUGCUGUUAGGCUUUUUAGUUUAAAGGCCUUCGGGAAAACUUAUCCUGAAAGGGGCUUUGAAAUGCUGUCUAAACAGGCAGUUGAUCAUGCAAAUGGAAAUCCAUUGGCUUUAAAAGUUUUAGGUUCAGUUCUCCAUUCCAGAAAUGAGCAGCAAUGGGACAAUGCUAUGAGAAAAUUCAAGAAGGUUCCUAAUGCUGAAAUUCAGAAUGUCUUGAGAUGGAGUUAUGAUGGAUUAGAUUAUGAACAAAAGAACAUGUUCCUGGACAUUGCAUGCUUUUUCCGAGGAGAAAAUAAAGAAAAUGUUAUAAGGUUGCUCGACAUUUGUGGUUUCUAUGCAUAUAUUGGUAUAAAAAUCCUUCUAGAAAAAGGUCUUAUUACUUUUUCUGAUGAUGGUGACGUGUGUAUGCAUGAAUUGAUACAGGAAAUGGGUUGGGAAAUUGUUCAUCAGGAAUCUAUCAAAGAUCCUGGAAGUCGCAGCCGACUGUGGGAUCUUAAAGAAGUCUAUGAUGUGUUGAAAAAUAACAGGGGAACUGAAGCAGUUGAAGGCAUAAUCUUAGAUGUGUCUCAAAUAAGAGUCCUGCUGCUGAGCUGUGAGACUUUCUCAAGGAUGAUAAAUAUGAGAUUUCUCAAAUUCUAUAUGGGGAAGGGUAGAAAAUGCAAUUUGCAUCUUCCUUCAGGUCUCCAAUCCUUGCCUAAUAAAUUAAUGUACCUACAAUGGGAUGGAUACCCUUCCAAGUCUCUGCCAUCAACUUUUUGUCCUGAGAACCUUGUUGUGCUUUCCAUGAUGGAAAGCCACGUUGAGAAACUUUGGGAUGGAACCAAGUGUCUUCCAAGCUUGAAAGAGAUGAACCUCCAUGCCAGCAAAAAGUUAACUAAUCUCCCAGAUUUAUCUCAGGCACCAAAUCUUGAAACUAUAGAUGUUUCUAAUUGCACAAGUCUGCUUCAUGUUCCCUUAUCCAUCCAAUAUGUCAAGAAGCUUCUUCUGUUUAACUUGGAAUCCUGCAAGAGUCUCAAGAGUCUUCCAAGAAACAUUCACUUAGCUUCUCUUGAAAUGUUCAUUCUCAGACGCUGUUCUAGUCUUGAUGAGUUUUCAUUGACUUCGGAGAACAUGACACGCCUAGACUUGAGAGAAACAAAAAUAGCAGAUUUCCCAGAGUCUGUUUGGCAGCAUCUGAACAAGCUUGUUUACUUGAAUCUGGAAUCCUGCAACAAACUCAAGAGUCUUACAAGCAAGAUUCACUUAAAAUCUCUUCAAAGACUCAAUCUGAGAGAUUGUUCAAUUCUCGAAGAGUUUUCUGUGACUUCGGAGAGCAUGGAAUACUUGAAUUUGAGAGGCACGUCAAUAAGAGAAUUGCCAACAUCAGUUUGGCGCAAUAACAAGCUUUAUACUUUGGUUCUUCAUUCCUGUAAAAAACUGGUGAACUUUCCUGAAAGACCAAAAGUUGAGGAUUUACCUCUCGUAUCCUCCUCUGAAAGGCCAAAUAUGGAUGAACUAUGGACUUUGUCAUCCUUAGCAGAUUUAUCACUAAAAGGAAGCACUGUUGAGAAUUUACCUGCAAGCAUCAAAGAUCUUCCUAGUCUAAAAAAACUUACCUUGACUGAGUGCAAGAAACUGCGGUCAUUACCAAGCCUUCCACCAUCCUUGGAAGACUUAUCCUUAGAUGAAAGUAAUAUUGUGUGCUUACCUGUAAGUAUCAAAGAUCUUUCUCAUUUGAGAAAACUUGCCCUAAUUAACCACAAGAAGCUUUUGACUCCACAGGAUCUUCCACCAUCUUUGAAAGCUCCAUUACUCACUGAAAGUAAAGUUGAUCCACACCUUGUGAGCAUGAAAGGUCUUUCUCAACUACAGAUGUUUCCUCAGGUUAAGUGGAAAAUGUUUCAUUCUCUACCAGAGCUUCCACCAUUCUUGGAAGAAUUUUCACUAAGUGAAAGCAAUAUUAAGUUCAUACCUGAAAGCAUUAAAAAUCUUUCACAUAUGAGGAAACUAGCCUUCACAAAGUGCACGAGGCUGCAGUAUUUACCAGAGCUUCCACCAAAUUUGGAAGAUUUGUUUGUAAGUGGAUGUGACAUUGAAAGCUUGCCAACAAGCAUCAGAGAUCUAGUUCACUUGCGAAAGAUCACCUUAAUUGAGUGCAAGAAGCUCAAGGCUCUACCAGAGCUUCCACAGUGCCUGCAAUCAUUGUGUGCAGCUGACUGCACAUCACUUAAGAUUAUUCGAAGUACAAAGAAUAUCUUAAUAGAAGAUAGGUAUACAUUCUAUUGGAAUUGCAUAAACUUAGACCAAAAGUCGCGCAACAACAUCAUUGCAGAUGCACCCUUUGAGGCAGCUUUUACUUCUUUGAAAGAAAGAACACCUCUUGGUCCUCUUAUUUCUAUUUGUUUGCCAGGAACUGAAAUCCCAGACUGGUUCAGCCACCAAUCAACAAAUUCUUCACUGGACAUGGAAAUUCCUCUUGAGUGGUUCGUUGACUCGAUGUUCUUAGGAUUUGCUCUGUGCCUUGUAAUUGGUGGUUUCCAACGGAACAGUAAUGAAGGGUAUGAUCCAGAUAUCAAUUGUUAUCACUUUGUAAAAUCUGCCUCCUACUCUGACCCCAGUGUUCCCUUUCUUGGACAUUGCACAACUGUAAUGCAGGUCCCAAGAGGUUUUAAUUCAGAUCAUAUAUUUAUAUGCUACUAUCCCUCUUUUAAUGCCUCCAUAUUACAAGAUUUCAAGGAUUUAAGCUUGUACUAUGAUGCCAAUGACUUAAGACUCAGAGUAAUCUUUAAAUUCAAGGGUCCAUCUCAAAGGUUGGACAUUGUUAAGAAGUGCGGGGUCAGACCUCUUUUGAUCGCAAAUACUGAAAGGCUUCACAUAGAAAGUGAACUGCAACCUGAAUAGAAGGGAGUAUCAAAGUGUAACUAGGAUUGUCAAGAGAUAUAUUAACUGAGAUGAGAAAGAACCAGGGGAAUAACCUGAAGCGAACCAAAGCAAAGGUUUUAUUUAAAUCCAGUGGUCGCUGAGCUGAGAAAAAGAGUACAUCUUGAAACCAUAGGAGAACUUUAUCCACGUGUCUCAAUUCUUGCAGAGGUCCAAAACAGUUAGUCUGUUACAAAGUAAUGUCGUCAGAUGUACAAGGAUAUUCUGGCGUUCCUAAUGAGGAAAAUACAUUUUCUAUUUCCUUUUAUAUGGAUGAAAUCUUCAGUGCGUUCUACGUUACAGCAAUGAGUAAUCUGACAUUUUGAAGGUGCAUAGAUAAAUAUGAAGGACUAUGCUGAACCCAUAAUCAUCGUUUUGGCGCAAAUUAACCUGUGAUGAAAUUUCAAACUUAAAGACCUAAUAAUUCAUUCAAGUAACGUUAACCAUUACUCGAUCGAUUUAAUGACUCAAUAGUGUUAAAUAAUGCUAAUUGGACAUUUUAUUAUCAAACAAAUUUCACUAUACUCUCGCUUAAAAAAUUUGCCCAUUCUCUUUUUUAUGUAGAACUCACGUGAAAUCACCUAAUGAUAGAGUUUCUCUUCAAACAAGUAAUAGCUAAAG